UUACAGUCAGUGAAGUGAACGAUGAGUCCGUUGUAAAAAAAGAGUUCACGAAUUCGCUCCCGUAACAGAAUUUAGGUAUUUUGAAACUGCAAUGACUAUUUGCAGCCCUUUAAUUGCGUCAGACACACAAUUAGAUACAAAACAAUGAUAAUAGCUGUGAACAAGAACUUCGCUGAUGAACGAAGAACUUUUAUUGGGACACCCCGACACGCAUCUUCGCGUUAUUGCUUCCGCAUGAUAAGACGGCGCGGCGUGAUUCGUAUUGCAUCUAUUUUUUUUGUAAUGUUUGUUACCUCAAAACUCAGUAAUUUAUUAAACGAUUUGGAUUUUUUUUUCUUAUUUGAAUAAUAUACUUCUAAAUUGGU